UGGAGUUGUUCCAAAGGAUGGGGAAACACCUUCCUUGAAAGGAGCAUAUCUCACGGAGGCAGAGUUAGAGCCAGGGAAAAUGUGGUCUGAAUUAAUCGAUGUCGAGGACCACUCUGUCCAGUUCCAGCAUGCUACUGUUUAUGAAAAGAAAUUAAGCACGGCUGUCAAAUCCCCCUUCUUCAUCCCAAAAAGGAAUUGAAAAGGGAAAUAUAAGUAACUCAUUAUUA